rnacentral:miRNA from 1 species
AAAAUCUAAGUGAACUUUUUGG